ACUCAGAAAAGGUGUGGAAAAAGGAAGGACGUGUCAGGGGCGAUGCUUGAGGAGACCACACUGCACUGUAAUUGUAAUCUCAGGUGUUUGAAUGGCAGGCUGUUUUCUGGAGAUUUUUUAGCUUUUCUUCUAUCAACAAAUAAAUUUAGUUCUUCCUGUCUUGUCCUACAAAUUUGCAAUGGCUUUAACAUAAGGAGAGGAAAAAAAAAACAUGGAGGAAAUAAAACCAGCCAUGCUGGGGCUUACUCUCACUUAAAUGCCAAAGUUUUU